GACGUAGGGUCCGAGCGUUGUCCGGAGUUACUGGGCGUAAAGGGCGCGUAGGCGGCUUUGUGCGUCACCCCGUGAAAGCCCCCCGGCUCAACCGGGGGAGGGUCGGGUGAAACGGCGGAGCUGGAGGCAGCGAGAGGCUGGUGGAAUUCCCGGAGUAGUGGUGAAAUGCGUAGAGAUCGGGAGGAACACCGGUGGCGAAGGCGGCGCACUGGACCACAACUGACGCUGAGGCGCGAAAGCUAGGGGAGCAAACAGG
rnacentral:rRNA from 1 species